UUCUGACCGUAAACGAUACCAUCUAGCGAUCCGGUGGUGGUAUUACCGCCUCGCCGGGGAGCUUCCCGGAAACGAAAGACUUCCGGUUCCGGGGGUAGUAUGGUUGCAAAGCUGAAACUUAAAGGAAUUGACGGAAUCGCACCACCAGGAGUGGAGCCUGCGGCUUAAUUUGACUCAACACGGGAAAACUCACCCGGCCCGGACACUGUAAGGAUUGACAGACUGAGAGCUCUUUCUUGAUUCGGUGGUUGGUGGUGCAUGGCCGUUCUUAGUUGGUGGAGCGAUUUGUCUGGUUUAUUCCGAUAACGAGCGAGACGCACCCCUACUUAAUACAUCGUGAAUAACUUCGUUCACAGGUGUUCUUAGAGGAAUUGGCGGUAUCGAGCCGCACGAAAGUGCGCAAUAACAGGUCUGUGAUGCCCUUAGAUGUUCGGGGCUGCACGCGUGCUACACUGGAGUCUGCAACGUGUUCCAUGGCCGAAGGGUCACUGGUAAACCGUUGAAAAGAUUCCGUGAUCGGGAUAGGGAAUUGCAAUUAUUCCCCUUGAACGAGGAAUUCCUAGUAAGUGUGAGUCAUCAUCUCGCUCUU
rnacentral:rRNA from 1 species